rnacentral:rRNA from 1 species
AUGGCAAACAUUCAACAGCGGCCAGAGAGGCUCCCGAUAGUCAUACUGCAAGAGGCACUGACAAAUGACAAGGCAUAUAGAAAUCUACGCAUUGUGCAUCCAGUAGGUCCUCCGCCUGAUCCCGGUGCACUCCUCAUCUCUGAUCCAGCGGAAGCAAACGACGCGGAGAGGCUUCUGCAAGGGAUGGCGCCGGAUGGGGACAGGGUGCUCCACAUUGCUGCGAGGCUGGAGGAUGUGGAGCUAGUACGUGCCAUCUCCGUGACGGAGAGAUGGCUCAACGCGGUUGAUGCAACAGCGAAGAACAACAGAGAAGAGACUGCCCUACAUUGCGCGGCCGCUACGGGGAACGUCGACAUGAUCGGCGCCCUGCUCGCGCUGUUGGCCGAGCCUGAGCACGAUGACAGGACGAGGCAGCUGUUGAGAGAGCAGAAGGACAACGGGGAGACAUGUUUGCACGAGGCAGUGCGUUGUGGGAAAGAGGAUGCCGUGCGGAUAUUGGUCCAGGAGGAUGCGCGUGUCGUCCUCGGGCCCAACGACGGCCGUGCUCUGGUGAAAAUAACUGAUGAGCAGGGUGUUUCUGCUCUUUACUUGGCCACGAAACUGCGCCAGCUUGAGAUUGUUCAGCUACUCACCAAAGAACAAGAACCAGCCGGCACAUAUCCAGCAGCGUCCUACGACGGGCCUGGAAGAAAGACAGCUCUGCAUGCUGCGGUUCUCCUCGGCAAAGAUCUCAGCGAACAUCUCGCCAAGUGGAAUAAUAAGGAACUCAUAGGGAAAGAAGAUUUAUAUGGGAACACACCACUUCACCUUUUGGCAUCAACCAGUGACAAAAUUAUUGUGAAACUUCUUCUUGAUUUGGACGAGAGUGCUGGAUACCAUGCAGACUAUGAGGGAUCACUGCCCAUACAUGUUGCUGCUGCGAAUGGAAGCCUUGAAAUCGUCAAGCUCUUGUCUGAGCUUCGUCCCGGCUGCGCUUGGUCCUGCAAUAACUUUGGCCAGACUAUUCUACACAUUGCUGUCCAAGAGAGAAGAUACAGUGUGGUAAAUUAUGUUUCCUCGGAACUGAAGUUCGAACGGAUUUUCAACAUCAGGGAUACCGAUGGAAAUACGGCUCUCCAUAUGGCUGUAUUGCAAGGACAUCAACACAUCUUUUGCCAGCUCAUGCGGAGGAGGGAAGUAUGUUUGAGCUUCACAAACAAGGAGGAGCUUACACCACUUGAUCUUGCACAAUUGAGCAUCCCGCCAAAUAUUUCAUCAACGGCUGCUCCGUAUUUGAUUAUGAACAGCCUCAUAGUUGCCGGAGCUGACUGGGGCACCUACCGACGCGAUCACUGGGCUAGAAACCUGGCAAAACGCGAGGAAGGGAAGGAACCCGAAAGGAUCGGACAUGAUCACUUGGCUAGAAGCAUGGCAAAACAUGAGGAGGAGAAGGAAUCCCAAACGAUCGGCAAGUCCGCUGGCGUGCUGGGCGUCUGCGCGGUGCUCAUCUUGACCGCGGCAUUCGCGGCGCCUUUUGCGGUGGCGCCUUUCUACGAUACUAACAAGGAGAAGAGCAUGGCGAUGCGGUUUGCUUACAGGAUAUUCGCAAUGUCCGACUUCGGCGCAUUCGGAUUCGCCGCGGCAGCCAUAUCUUCCUGCACGUUUGCGGGGUUUCCCUUCCUGGACCGGACCAAACGCUUCUUGUACUUCAGCACCGGAUACCUGUUCCUGCUUUUCGCCGCCAUGUUCAUGAUCCUCGUCUUCAUGGGGGGAGUUUAUCUGGCGGUUCGCCCGGUGGUCGACAGCGCCACCCUCGCCUACGUCUAUCUGCCUGGUGUGCUAUACCCAUCCGCGUUGCUGCUGAUUCGCGCACUGGGUUCCAGACUGCUUCUCCAUAUGUGGGCGCUAACCUUGAGGCUUGGUUACCCGGGGUGGUUCUGCGCCCUGCCUUGCCUGCUCCCUCCGCCGCACCGAGGUCGUGACCAUAUAUAUCGCGCGCUUUAUGUGAGAUGCUCGUCCAGGUUCUUUUUCUUUUUCACAGUGUUCAUUCUUCUGGCGGUGCUUGCACUACUGUUGGCCAAGACGAAUAUACCAGCACGUUAG